rnacentral:piRNA from 1 species
AGGCUGAGGCAAGAGAAUCUCUGAGU